GGGCCUAUAGCUCAGUUGGUUAGAGCCUCCGGCUCAUAACCGGAAUGUCGCAGGUUCAAGUCCUGCUGGGCCCA
rnacentral:tRNA from 1 species